rnacentral:rRNA from 1 species
UACGUAGGGUGCGAGCGUUGUCCGGAAUUAUUGGGCGUAAAGGGCUCGUAGGCGGUUUGUCGCGUCGGGAGUGAAAUCCACUGGCUUAACUGGUGGCUUGCUUUCGAUACGGGCAGACUGGAGGUAUGCAGGGGAGAACGGAAUUCCUGGUGUAGCGGUGAAAUGCGCAGAUAUCAGGAAGAACACCGGUGGCGAAGGCGGUUCUCUGGGAAUAUCCUGACGCUGAGGAGCGAAAGUGUGGGGAGCAAACAGG